GAUGAAGAACGCAGCGAAAUGCGAUAAGUAAUGUGAAUUGCAGAAUUCAGUGAAUCAUCGAAUCUUUGAACGCACAUUGCGCCCGCCAGUAUUCUGGCGGGCAUGCCUGUUCGAGCGUCAUUUCAACCAUCAAGCUCCCGGGCUUGCGUUGGGGCCCUGCGGCUGCCGCAGGCCCCUAAAACCAGUGGCGGGCUCGCUGUCACACCGAGCGCAGUAGCAUUUCUUCGCUCUGGGCGCGGCGGCGGGCGCUUGCCGUAAAACCCCAACUCACGAAAUGUUGACCUCGGAUCAGGUAGGAAUACCCGCUGAACUUAAGCAUAUCAAUAAGCGGAGGA
rnacentral:misc_RNA from 1 species